rnacentral:rRNA from 1 species
GACGAACGCUGGCGGCGUGCCUAAUACAUGCAAGUAGAACGCAGUUGCGAACGGGUGAGUAACGCGUAGGUAACUGCCUCAUAGCGGGGGAUAACUAUUGGAAACGAUAGCUAAUACCGCAUACUGUGAGAUGGACCUGCGUUGUAUUAGCUAGUUGGUGGGGUAAUGGCUCACCUAGGCGACGAUCCCUAGCUGGUCUGAGCGGAUGACCAGCCACGCUGGAACGGAGACACGGUCCAGACUCCUAAGGGAGGCAGCAGUGGGGAAUAUUGCACAAUGGGCGCAAGCCUGAUGCAGCCAGGCCGCGUGUGGGAAGAAGGCCUUCGGGUUGUAAACCUCUUUCGCUAUCGAACGGGUAGGUGGAGAAGAAGCGCCGGCUAACUACGUGCCAGCAGCCGCGGUAAUAC